UUUAGACAUUGCAACAUGAAGUUCCGAACAAUUGCUCUUCACAAAGUGAAGGUUGAACAAAGCAAAGGCAGCAGAUAUCUCUAGGGAGAAAAGAUACAUCAGGUUUACUAUAGACUUCUGUGUAAAGACAAGCACUGAUAAGAAGAGUGAAGAAGCUCAAAAGCCCUGGGUGAUGUAAACUACAUUCUGUGCUCUCCAUGGUGAAGUGCAGAAGAUGUUCUAUUCUUCAGAAAUAUACCCAGCAAGCUGCAUUGGGGUGAACUAUAUUUCAUGUUAAUAUUCAGCUGGCAUUGCCUACCUGAAACAGAGGAAGAUACAGGGCUCAUAUAAUUUGUUUGUCUGGUUCUUUCUGUUCUGUUCCUGUUGGUACAUGAACAUAUCACUGCGUUCAAGUACCAACAUAGGAUAAGAGGGAUAAACUCUGGCUUAAGAAAAAUUGUCUAGUUCACACCAAGGUUAUUUUCAACUCUCUAGCUCUUUUAUCAGAAGACUGUAACCUUGAUUAGCUUGAAAUUGUGGUAAUUCCUGAUUGCACUUUUCCCUCUCCAAGUCACAUUUCAGUCUGCUACUAAUUCUACUCUGAAGAGCAGAACACGUUUACCACAUUCAUGAAGAUACAUAAUGAAGAUAAUGAAUCAGCAGUGUGGAAUUAAGGGCCAGGAAGUAGGACUGCUUCCAGUUGCUGUCCCAGCCACAAUAUCAGAAAUGGCUACAAAUGCAUCAGUGUCAGCACCAAAGAGACUUGAACUGCCCCAGCAGCAAGGUACAGCAAAUUUCCAUAUCCUCAUGGCCUUUGGCAACAGGAAAAUCUUCAAAAUGUCAUUGCUUUUCCUGGGCUCCAGGGAGGUUGUUUUUGGCUGCCUGACCAUUGUCCUGAGGAGUUCAAACACAGCAUUCGAGGCACACCUCCUGAGUACAGCUAGCUAACCUUUUCCUGUGAGUGUUUUUGAUUUUGCUCACUAGAGAUGGGGCUGCACAACAAAUUCCACCUCUUCAGCUCUGGGGAGAUGACAGAUGAAGCUGGCAAUACUUACAUCACAC